rnacentral:snRNA from 1 species
UGUCCUUGAUGUGAGGACUGUAUAUUAGGUUGAUUUUUGAAACGGCAGGGUUAGAACAGAAGCUUGCUUUGUCUGCCCCAUGCAUCGACCUGGUAUUGCAGUGCUUCCAGGAACGGUGU